UACGUAGGGGGCAAGCGUUGUCCGGAUUUAUUGGGCGUAAAGAGCGUGUAGGCGGCCAGGUAGGUCAGCUGUGAAAACUCGAGGCUCAACCUCGAGACGCCGGUGGAAACUGCAAAGCUAGAGUCCGGAAGAGGAGAGUGGAAUUCCUGGUGUAGCGGUGAAAUGCGCAGAUAUCAGGAAGAACACCCGUGGCGAAGGCGGCUCUCUGGGACGGUACUGACGCUGAGACGCGAAAGCGUGGGGAGCGAACAGG
rnacentral:rRNA from 1 species